GCCCGGGUGGCGGAAUGGAAGACGCGGAGGACUCAAAAUCCUCUGUCCGCAAGGACGUGUGGGUUCGACUCCCACCCCGGGCACCA
rnacentral:tRNA from 1 species